rnacentral:rRNA from 1 species
GCUUACGACCAUACCACGUUGAAAACACGCCAUCCCGUCCGAUCUGGCAAGUUAAGCAACGUUGGGCCUUCUUAGUACUUGGAACGGAGACGUCCUGGGAAUCGAAGGUGUUGUAAGCUUUU